GAGGAAGUAAAAGUCGUAACAAGGUUUCCGUAGGUGAACCUGCGGAAGGAUCAUUAAUGAAUUUGAAAGGCGGAGGCUUGAUGCUGGCGCGGAAACGCGGAUGUGCACGGCCUUCGUCCUCAAUCCAUUCAACCCCUGUGCACCUUAUGGGAGUUACUAGUCGGCAGURAUGUUAGUAGUCGAAAGACAAAAGCUUACGCAUUGUYGGYGAACACUUCAACUAUUAUCAACCUUUGUUGUCRUGUAGAAUGUAAUGCUCCKCGUGGGCGAAAUGAAAUACAACUUUCAACAACGGAUCUCUUGGCUCUCGCAUCGAUGAAGAACGCAGCGAAAUGCGAUAAGUAAUGUGAAUUGCAGAAUUCAGUGAAUCAUCGAAUCUUUGAACGCACCUUGCGCUCCUUGGUAUUCCGAGGAGCAUGCCUGUUUGAGUGUCAUGUUAAUCUCAACUCCCUUGUUUCUUAACUCGGGUGUUGGACUUGGAGGUUGCYGGCCCCAUUUGUGGUCGGCUCUUCUUAAAUGCAUUAGCUGGGCUUUGGCUCGCGUUGAACGGUGUAAUAGUAAUCUUACAUUCACCUGAGCGCUUGCCUAACRAGUCUGCUUCUAAUCGUCUUCGGACAAGGCGUUGUCGCCUUCACUUGACAUCUUGACCUCAAAUCAGGUAGGAUUACCCGCUGAACUUAAGCAUAUC
rnacentral:rRNA from 1 species